rnacentral:rRNA from 1 species
CACGUAGGGGGCAAGCGUUGUCCGGAUUUAUUGGGCGUAAAGAGCUCGUAGGCGGUUCGGUAAGUUGGGUGUGAAACCUCCAGGCUCAACCUGGAGACGCCACCCGAUACUGCUGUGACUAGAGUCCGGGUAGGGGAGCGUGGAAUUCCUGGUGUAGCGGUGAAAUGCGCAGAUAUCAGGAGGAACACCAGCGGCGAAGGCGGCGCUCUGGGCCGGAACUGACGCUGAGGAGCGAAAGCGUGGGUAGCAAACAGG